UACGUAGGGUGCAAGCGUUGUCCGGAAUUAUUGGGCGUAAAGAGCUCGUAGGCGGUUUGUUGCGUCGGCUGUGAAAACCUGAGGCUCAACCUCAGGCCUGCAGUCGAUACGAGCAGACUAGAGUGUUGCAGGGGAGACUGGAAUUCCUGGUGUAGCGGUGAAAUGCGCAGAUAUCGGGAAGAACACCCGUGGCGAAGGCGGCUCUCUGGGACGGUACUGACGCUGAGACGCGAAAACGUGGGGAGCAAACAGG
rnacentral:rRNA from 1 species